UACGGAGGAUUCAAGCGUUAUCCGGAAUCAUUGGGUUUAAAGGGUCCGUAGGCGGGCAGUUAAGUCAGUGGUGAAAGUCUUCCGCUUAACGGGAGAACUGCCAUUGAUACUGAUUGUCUUGAGUUAUUAUGAAGUGGUUAGAAUGAGUAGUGUAGCGGUGAAAUGCAUUGAUAUUACAUAGAAUACCGAUUGCGAAGGCAGAACACUAAUAAUUUACUGACGCUGAUGGACGAAAGCGUAGGUGGCGAACAGG
rnacentral:misc_RNA from 1 species